rnacentral:lncRNA from 10 species
UCGAAUUCUUGACCGCAGAUGAUCCACCCGCCUUGGCCUCCCAAAGUGCUGGGAUUACAGAUGUGAGCCACCGCUCCUGGCCAUCAUUGUGGUUUCCUUGCAAUUUCUCUGAUAACUAAUAUUGUUAGGCACCAUUUCAUGUGCAUAUUGCUCAUUGUGUUUUAUAAUUAGAGAUUCAGUGGGUACAUGUGCAGGUUUCUUAUAUGUGUAUACUGUGUAAUGCUAUGGUUUGGGCUUCCAGUGAACCCAUCAUCCAAAAAGAGAACACGGUGAUUUGUGGGUUUUCUAGAGGUACUCUUGAUAUGGUUUGGCUGUGUCCACACCCAAAUCUCAUCUUGACUAGUAGCCCCCAUAAUUCCCUCAUGUUGUGGAAGGCACCCAGUGGGAGAUAAUUGAAUCAUAGGGGUAGUUUCCCCCAUACUGUUCUCAUGGUAGUGAAUAAGUAUCAAGAGAUCUGAUGGUUCUAUAAGAGGAAACCCCCUUCACUUGGCUCUUAUUCUCUCUUGUCUGCCACCAUGUAAGAAGUGCCUUUCACCUUCCACCUUCUGCCAUGAUUGUGAGGCACCCUCAGCCAUGUGGAACUAAAACUAAUGAGAAGAAAGGGCCAGUUAAGAGACCACCAAGACAGUGGACGUCCAGCCAAGAAUAAAUAAGAAGGCAAUCACCAGGGAGAACAUCAGAUCAAUUUGAACGGAAGCUUUCUGUUGACUUUCAUCAGACUAUUGAAACGGAUAUAUGAUGUAGGACUCUGACAGAAGAAAG